rnacentral:rRNA from 1 species
UAGCGAAGGGGGCUAGCGUUGUUCGGAUUUACUGGGCGUAAAGCGCACGUAGGCGGAUUGGUCAGUUAGGGGUGAAAUCCUGGAGCUCAACUCCAGAACUGCCUUUAAUACUGCCAGUCUCGAGUCCGGAAGAGGUAAGUGGAACUCCUAGUGUAGAGGUGGAAUUCGUAGAUAUUAGGAAGAACACCAGUGGCGAAGGCGGCUUACUGGUCCGGUACUGACGCUGAGGUGCGAAAGCGUGGGGAGCAAACAGG